rnacentral:rRNA from 1 species
AUUGAACGCUGGCGGCAUGCCUUACACAUGCAAGUCGAACGGCAGCACGGGAGCAAUCCUGGUGGCGAGUGGCGAACGGGUGAGUAAAGUAUCGGAACGUGCCCAGUCGUGGGGGAUAACGUAGCGAAAGUUACGCUAAUACCGCAUACGAUCUAUGGAUGAAAGCGGGGGAUCGCAAGACCUCGCGCGAUUGGAGCGGCCGAUAUCAGAUUAGGUAGUUGGUGGGGUAAAGGCUCACCAAGCCGACGAUCUGUAGCUGGUCUGAGAGGACGACCAGCCACACUGGGACUGAGACACGGCCCAGACUCCUACGGGAGGCAGCAGUGGGGAAUUUUGGACAAUGGGCGAAAGCCUGAUCCAGCCAUGCCGCGUGCAGGAUGAAGGCCUUCGGGUUGUAGACUGCUUUUGUACGGAACGAAAAGGUUUGGGCUUAUAAGCUGAGCUCAUGACGGUACCGUAAGAAUAAGCACCGGCUAACUACGUGCCAGCCGCCGCCGUAA